rnacentral:rRNA from 1 species
UACGAAGGGUGCAAGCGUUACUCGGAAUUACUGGGCGUAAAGCGUGCGUAGGUGGUUCGUUAAGUCUGAUGUGAAAGCCCUGGGCUCAACCUGGGAAUGGCAUUGGAUACUGGCGACCUAGAGUGCGGUAGAGGGUGGCGGAAUUCCCGGUGUAGCAGUGAAAUGCGUAGAUAUUGGGAAGAACACCGGUGGCGAAGGCGGCUAUCUGGACCGACAUUGACGCUGAGGCGCGAAAGCGUGGGGAGCAAACAGG